rnacentral:rRNA from 1 species
UACAGAGGUCCCGAGCGUGUUCGGAUUUAUUGGGCGUAAAGGGUGCGUAGGCGGCGGAGUAAGUUGGGUGUGAAAUCCCGGGGCUUAACCUCGGAAUGGCAUUCAAUACUGCUUCGCUAGAGUACUGGAGAGGAGGCUGGAAUUUACGGUGUAGCAGUGAAAUGCGUAGAUAUCGUAAGGGAAGGCCGGUGGCGAAAGCGAGCCUCUGGGACAGUUACUGACGCUGAUGCACCGAAGGCCAGGGGAGCAAACGGGG